ACGCACGCUGGCGGCGCGCCUAACCCAUGCACGUCGAACGAGCGAGAGAGAGCUUGCUUUCUUGAGCGAGUGGCGAACGGGUGAGUAACGCGUGAGGAACCUGCCUCAAAGAGGGGGACAACAGUUGGAAACGACUGCUAAUACCGCAUAAGCCCACGGUGCCGCAUGGCACAGAGGGAAAAGGAGCAAUCCGCUUUGAGAUGGCCUCGCGUCCGAUUAGCUAGUUGGUGAGGUAACGGCCCACCAAGGCGACGAUCGGUAGCCGGACUGAGAGGUUGAACGGCCACAUUGGGACUGAGACACGGCCCAGACUCCUACGGGAGGCAGCAGUGGGGAAUAUUGCACAAUGGGGGAAACCCUGAUGCAGCGACGCCGCGUGGAGGAAGAAGGUCUUCGGAUUGUAAACUCCUGUUGUUGGGGAAGAUAAUGACGGUACCCAACAAGGAAGUGACGGCUAACUACGUG
rnacentral:rRNA from 1 species